rnacentral:misc_RNA from 1 species
UCUCCGUUGGUGAACCAGCGGAGGGAUCAUUAUCGAGUUUAUAACUCCCAAACCCUAUGUGAACUUACCACUUGUUGUUUCGGCGCGCGCUUCGGUGCCGCCGAGGACACUUAAACUCUUUGUUUUUAUAAGCAUUUCUGAGUGGCCGAAAGGCAAAAUACAAAUGAAUCAAAACUUUCAACAACGGAUCUCUUGGUUCUG